AAGUUUAAUAUGUUGCCUGUGAUGAAAAUGGUGAUGCCGAUUGCCCAGGUUUUGAAUUUGCGGAUCGGCGGCUUUUCCUCCUCGGGCACGUCCAGCUGCGCCCGCUUCGUGUGCCCCAGCUUGAUGAGGUUCUGGGGGCGGCAACGCAGUCAACAGGUGUUUAUUGACACUGUGAUGCUGCCGAUGAACCUGGGGCGGUGGCAUCUGCUUACCAUGCCAAGAUUGAUGGACACGCUUCCCAC
rnacentral:lncRNA from 1 species